UCAAUGAACCGGGCGGGUUCCUGAAACUGGUUAGGCGAUCCAAGGUGGCACAAACCUUGGACAUCUUUUACUGUUAAAGUUCAUAUUUCAUUGAGACACAUAACAUAGGCUUCAUUACUGAAGGCAAUCCAAGCCUCCAUACAAACCGUGUGCUAUGUGGAUCAUUUAUGCGCUCUAAAGAAAUCCGGGAUAGGUCCUACACAUCGACUGCAAGACAUUUCAUCUAAAUACUUUUUGCCAUUAACGAGUCUCGAAAACCAAGGAAUUAAAAUGAUAUUCGCCAACACUGCCAACCCAAUGAGGACUCCGUACCGUAAGCAGCCUGCUGCCACGACUGCCCACCCCAUGGCUCCACCCAGCCCCAGUACCAACGGCACCAGCAACGGCAACAGCAGUAGCAGCAGCAGCAGCACCACUGGAUGGGAGCAGCUCAGCAAGACCAAUCUAUACAUCCGUGGCCUUCCACCGUCCACCACAGACCACGACCUGGUGAAGCUUUGUCAGCCGUAUGGCAAAAUUGUGUCCACGAAAGCCAUCCUUGAUAAGACGACAAACAAAUGUAAAGGUUACGGGUUUGUAGACUUUGACAGUCCAGCAUCGGCACAGAAGGCUGUCUCAGCGCUGAAGACCAGCGGUGUCCAGGCACAGAUGGCAAAGCAGCAGGAGCAGGACCCCACCAACCUGUACCUGUCCAACCUGCCUGUUUCUGUGGAUGAGCAGGAGUUGGAAAGCCUGCUCAAGCCCUUUGGCCAUGUGGUGUCCACACGCAUUCUCAGAGACACGCAUGGCAUCAGCCGUGGAGUGGGCUUUGCCAGGAUGGAGUCAACAGAGAAGUGCGAUGCUGUCAUCUCCCAGCUCAACGGCAAGUUCAUCAAGACAGCAAGUCUCAUGGGUUCCUCUGAGCCGCUGCUCUGUAAGUUUGCAGAUGGAGGCCAGAAGAAGCGACAGAUUCAGGGAAAAUACACCCCCAACGGGAAAGUGUGGUCUCGGGAGGCUGAGGGGAGACUGAGUGGAAUGACCUUGACGUAUGACCCCACCACUGCCACCAUGCAGAAUGGGUACUACCCUCCUCCCUACAAUAUGGGCAGCAGACUGGUGCCUCAGACCGCUGUGACUCCCUAUAUCUCUCCUGUUUCCACGUACCAGGUGCAGAAUCCUCCUUGGAUGACACAUCAGCCUUACAUCAUGCAGCACCCGGGAGGGGUUUUGUCGCCCUCUAUGGAGCACCCCAUGGCACUGCAGCACUCCUCCAUCAUGGCUCCUCUCACACAGCAGAUGGGGCAUCUGUCUCUGGGCAACACGGCAGCGUUCAUACCUGCCAACGCCGGGAUGCAGGGCGGCUACAUCCCCCAGUACACACACAUUCAUGCUUCCGCCGUACCCGUCGAGGACAAUUCAACUCCCAUUGAAUCAUCCAGUGAUCAUUCAACGUACAGUUAUCAACCCAGCAAGUAGUAAUAAGGGAUCAGUGAUCAAGGAGUGGGAACAGAAGUAACAUUGUUUCCAUGGAAAUAAACUAGCUUUCUCCAGGAGGAUGUGACAUCACAUCCACACCACAUUUUUUCCUGGAAAAGUCUCAACUGAAAAUGGAAGUAACGUCAGCAAAACUCCUUUUGAACUUUGGUGACUGCAACUCUUGCAGACUUGGGUUGACGAAGACAACCGGGGGCAAGUUUAUUUGUUUUUCAAAAAAGAAAUGAUAUGUCAAGUGAUUCACAUCUUUUAUAAGGACAUAAUUGUGCUUACAGGGGCACAACCAUUCUUUUUUGUUUUGUUUUUAAGAAGUGUGACACAAACACCCCUGUGACCAGUGUGCUAAAGUGAAGAUGACAAGGGUUUUUUGCAUUUGCAUCUGAAACACAGACAGAGGAUAGCUAUAUAUAUAUAUAUAUAGAGAGAGAGAGUUUUCUCAUCAUCAGAAACUACACACUGCACCUGCAAACAAAUAGGAGAACAAAAAGAGAUGAACAGUUAAAAUCUCCCUCAGAAUACAUCAGUGUUUUUCUGUCCUCCCUUGAAGCACCACAGGAUCAGUCACUUAUACCUGAUUCACAUCCUGCCUCUGGCUGAAUACACCUCAUCAAAUCCAAAAACAGAGCCAAAGGGUUCCGGCCUGGUCUGAGGUCACUUGGGCAUGGCAUGCAAUUUAUUGUGACCUCUAAUUUUGUAGUGUUUAUUCCAUUAUCACAGAAUAUAAACUGACUUCCAUAUAUAUUUAUGGCUUUUUUUUUUGAUCGAUUGAUUUGAAAAUGUCUCAGCUUUUGUCUUUGGCCAGAAGCUGGCUAUGGAGACACUCAUUUGUCAAUGUAUCUGAGGGAGAAUCUCUAAACACCUCUCUUUUCUGAAGGGAAAUCAACAUCACACAGGAGAACAGAAUAUUACCAAAGACCAUCAAAUGAUAGACCUCGCUGGAGAGUUAGAUCAGACAGUCACUGUGCAGAAUCCAGUUAUGUCUCCUUGACACCCAAAGGUAGAAUUUUGACCAGGGUUAGAUUCUUCCCUGUUGGCUGUCCUUGUCAUAGUUUGUCAUAUGUUGGAAGUUUGAAGGACUGGACUAGCAUGUAGUUUGGAUAUUGUGCCUUUUUUGUUCCCCUGCAUUUAGGUUCAGUUCAAUUUCUUCACAGGCCGGCCUACAUUGAUGCAGUAAAGGUUUAAGUUAUGUGACACUAUGUGAACCAUGACGACUUAGUCCUUAAAAAGUCCUUAUUUAUAAAACAUGGUCUGUUUUUAUUUGUUUUUGUAACACAGAAAUGGGGCAGUUUUAUUAGGAUCAGGCAAUAACACAGGAAACCGCUAGUUCAUAGCUACGCCAAGACAAAGACUUGUUUGAAUGCUCCUAACGAACUGAAGCUGAGAAGGGCUUUCUUUCCUUAUUAUUGAUUAAGGCUUUCCAUUUGAUCAACUCAAUGAACUAUAGAUAUAAAAAAUAUUGUGGUGAAGGAGUUAGUAUGGAGUGGUUGUUUUUGAUGUAACGGUCUGCAUGGCCGAUGAACUACCUCAGAGUUGCAUGAGCUCUGUGUUUUUUGUUGAGGUGUGUGGUGGGGGGCAUGCAGGUUCAGUCCCUCCCACUCCAGAAGUCCCUCUUACAGAGCACAGGUCCAGCUCUGGAGCUGGACACUACACUACAGGAAACCUCUUCUUCAUCUUCAUCUUCCUCCUCUUCUUUGUCCUCCUCCUUCUCUUCCACCUCUUCUCUGAGGAAGCGUCCAGUUUUUAGAUUAGGUUAUUUUUCUUUCUUUUUUUGUAACAUGGCUGAUGGUCUUUGGUUGGAAGACUGUGGCCACCUAUGCAUUGAAGGUGCUUGACCUGGUCUAUUUGGUUGUUGCUUCUGCCAGCCAUUGUGAUAUGUGCUGAAUUUUGGGCACUGAGAGAGACUUGAAUGAAUGGAUAAUAUGGUAUGUUCAAUUCAGAUAAAUGUACACCCUCCUGACAAAGAUCCCUCUUGUUAAUGGGAGGAGGGCAUUUUCCCAGUAACCAAAGCAAACUGUCAUCAUGGUGAUCAAAUGGUGGAUAUUUUCUGUCAGUAAAGUCCUCCAUAACCAGAACAUCAACCCCUCAAGAAAAAUCACAUGAAGUGGUAAAUUAAAGUAAUAAUAAUUUAUGCGGUGAAAUUUUGCACAGACAGACAAUUGCAUAGAGAUGUUUGUAAGAUCAGUACAGAGUAAAUCCUUUUUUUUAUUUUAUUUUGUUUUUACAAGAACCACAAAUGUGCCAGUCCUAAUUAUGUCCAAUCCAAGGAAACGGCUUUGUUAUUUUUGCAUUGUUUCUUACUGCCGAACUGUUUUUUUUUAUCUUAAUUUAAAUAUCAACCAGUAGAUUUAAAAAAUACCUUGUCAUCGUUUCCUCUGUCAAACCUUUUUUUGAAAUAAAAUUGAACCUCAGUCUGUUCCCAA